GACCGCACCGGUAGUCUAGUUGUUAGAGCGUCCGCCUCGGAUGCGGUAGGUCGUGGAUUCGAUUCCCGGCCGAGUCA